rfam:Lupinus angustifolius cultivar Tanjil chromosome LG17, whole genome shotgun sequence.
AUCUGAUGAUGGGGGCAGCUUGCACAUAACCUCUUGAAUCUCUCCCAAUAUUCAUAUAAACUUUUUGCAUAUAGUUGUAUGAUUCCAGAAAUAUCAUUUCUGAUUGU